rnacentral:rRNA from 1 species
CCUACGGGUGGCUGCAGUGGGGAAUUUUGGACAAUGGGCGCAAGCCUGAUCCAGCAAUGCCGCGUGUGUGAUGAAGGCCUUCGGGUUGUAAAGCACUUUUGGCGGGAACGAAAAGGACUGUGCCAAUACCACGGUUCGAUGACGGUACCCGCAGAAUAAGCACCGGCUAACUACGUGCCAGCAGCCGCGGUAAUACGUAGGGUGCGAGCGUUAAUCGGAAUUACUGGGCGUAAAGAGUGCGCAGGCGGUUUUGCAAGACCGAUGUGAAAUCCCCGGGCUUAACCUGGGAACUGCAUUGGUGACUGCAAGGCUAGAGUGUGUCAGAGGGAGGUGGAACUCCGCAUGUAGCAGUGAAAUGCGUAGAUAUGCGGAAGAACACCGAUGGCGAAGGCAGCCUCCUGGGAUAACACUGACGCUCAUGCACGAAAGCGUGGGGAGCAAACAGGAUUAGAUACCCCAGUAGUC